rnacentral:rRNA from 1 species
UACAGAGGGUGCGAGCGUUAAUCGGAAUUACUGGGCGUAAAGGGCGCGUAGGUGGAUUGAUAAGUCAGAUGUGAAAGACCUGGGCUUAACCUGGGAGAGUCAUAUGAUACUGUUAAUCUAGAGUAGAGUAGAGGGGAGUGGAAUUUCCGGUGUAGCGGUGAAAUGCGUAGAUAUCGGGAGGAACACCAGUGGCGAAAGCGGCUACCUGGCCCAUUCUUGACGCUGAGGCGCGAAAGCUAGGGGAGCAAACGGG